rnacentral:tRNA from 1 species
GAGAAGGAACAGAAAAAAGUAAGCACUGCUAAUUCUUACACCCCGAGGUUAAACUCCUCGGCCUCCUCA